rnacentral:rRNA from 1 species
GAUGAACGCUGGCGGCGUGCUUAACACAUGCAAGUCGAACGGAAAGGCCUCUUCUUGCAGUGGUACUCGAGUGGCGAACGGGUGAGUACCCCGUGAGUGAUCUGCCCUGCACUUCGGGCUACGCCUGGGAAACUGGGUUUAAUACCGGUUAGGACAAUGUUUUGGAUGUCGUUGUUGAGAGUUUUGCGGGGUGGGAUGAGCUCGCGGGCUAUCAGCUUGUUGGUGGGGUAAUGGCCUACCAAGGCGUCGACGGGUAGCCGGCCUGAGAGGGUGUACGGCCACAUUGGGACUGAGAUACGGCCCAGACUCCUACGGGAGGCAGCAGUGGGGAAUAUUGCACAAUGGGCGCAAGCCUGAUGCAGCGACGCCGCGUGGGGGAUGACGGCCUUCGGGUUGUAAACUCCUUUCGCUAGGGACGAAGCGAAAGUGACGGUACCUGGAGAAGAAGCACCGGCUAAAUACGUG